rnacentral:rRNA from 1 species
UACAGAGGUCUCAAGCGUUGUUCGGAUUCAUUGGGCGUAAAGGGUGUGUAGGUGGCGCGCUAAGUCGGGUGUGAAAUUUCGGAGCUUAACUCCGAAACUGCAUUCGAUACUGGCGUGCUUGAGGACUGGAGAGGAGACUGGAAUUCACGGUGUAGCAGUGAAAUGCGUAGAUAUCGUGAGGAAGACCAGUGGCGAAGGCGGAUCUCUGGACAGUUCCUGACGCUGAGGCGCGAAGGCCAGGGGAGCAAACGGG